GCCCUCCAGCUGCUAACCACCGGCCAUCCUCGUGAACACUUGGCCUCAGAGUUUCCCUAACCUUUCCCUCCCCGGUUAGGUUCGCUCAACUAAACGUUCCUCCGGCAUUGACGUUCAGACCUCGACGGAUCUCCACACCCGUGCGAUCCCUGUACCUGAACCCUUUAAUAAACACCUUUAAACUGCA